CAGAGUGCAGAGUUGCAGAUUAACACACUCAUCAGACUACAGGGCCCGCCUCUCCCCCGUCCAUGCUGACCACAGCCAGGACUACGGAGAGCAGCACACAACUGCACUGUGGUUUUUUCUUCAAGCGAGAGAAAGAAUAAAAGCCUUCACACAUCUGUCCUGCACACAGUAUUAACUGACCUAACGCUGCUGUUCACCAUGACAUCAUCUCAGUACAAACACUGAGAAGUGGAACAUACCGUCGCCCACGAGCUGCCCCCUUACACAAACCGCCCCCCACCCCAUCCGCUCAUUAAACAUAAAAGUGAAGUUCGCCACUCACCGAGUGCAGUGUACAAGUUCACCACUCAACAUCUUUUCACAUCACCCGUCAUCUCACCUGAAGCUGAAGUCAUGAGCACUCUUGCUCGAGCACUCGUUCUGGGUCUGCUGCUGGUCGCGUGUCUUCAGUUGAGCGUAAUGGGCCAAAAUGCAAACGAACCGAAGGAAUGCUGUUUUAAGUUUUUUGAGAAACCAAUCCGUGCAAGAUCUAUUACAACAUAUGGAAUGACGAGACCGGAGUGUCCAAAAGCCGGAGUCAUUUUUACAACCAGGAAGGGGCUUCGCAUCUGCGCAGACCCUGGCUUUAAGUGGGUGCGGAACGCCAUGGACAGAAUUGAUCAGCGCUUGGUGGAGGAGAUGUCAACCUAAACCCAAAUGGAUGAUUGUGUCUCGUAUC